GGGGCGGUAAUACCAAAUAAUAUCAUUUGUCGAUAGGCAAAUGAUCAAAGAUUUAUCGGCACGGGAGCGGCCUGCCUCCUAUCAGCUUGUUGGUGAGGUAACGGCUCACCAAGGCAUCGACGGGUAGCGGGACUGAGAGGUUGGCCCGCAACAUCGGGACUGAGACACUGCCCGGACCUCCACGGAGGGCUGCAGUAACGAAUAUUGUGCAAUGGGCGAAAGCCUGACACAGCGACGCCGGGUGUAGGAGGAAGUCCCUCGGGAUGUAAACUACUGUCAGGGGGAAGAAAGUGUACUUCGGUGCAUUGAUCUACCCCAGAGGAAGUCACGGCUAACUUCGUGCCAGCAGCCGCGGUAAGACGAAGGUGGCAAGCGUUGUUCGGUAUUACUGGGCUUAAAGCGUGUGUAGGCGGAAAUGUAAGCGUUGUGUGAAAUCCCCCGGCUUAACCGGGGAACUGCUCAACGAACUGCUUUUCUUGAGGCAAGUAGGGGUGCAUGGAACUCUUGGUGGAGCGGUGGAAUGCGUAGAUAUCAAGAGGAACGCCAGCGGAGAAAUCGGUGCACUGGGCUUGUCCUGACGCUGAGACACGAAAGCGUGGUAGCGAACGGGAUUAGAUACCCCGGUAGUCCACGCCGUAAACGAUGCCUACUAGGUUGUGAAAGUUCUGACACUGGCACAGCCGAAGCAAAAGUGAUAUGUAGGCCGCCUGGGGAGUACGGUCGCAAGGCUAAAACUCAAAGGAAUUGACGGGGGCUCACACAAGCGGUGGAGCAUGUGGAUCAAUUCGAAGCAACGCGCAGAACCUUACCUGGGUUUGACAUGCUUGGAUGCUUGCCAGGAAACUGGUUAAGCUGCCCUUCGGGGUGAAACUUGCACAGGUGCUGCAUGGCUGUCGUCAGCUCGUGUCGUGAGAUGUCGGGUUAAGUCCUUUAACGAGCGAAACCCUUGCCGUUAGUUGCCAGCGGGUAAUGCCGGGGACUCUAGCGGGACUGCCGGUGUCAAACCGGAGGAAGGUGGGGACGACGUCAAGUCAUCAUGGCCCUUAUGCCCAGGGCCUCACACGUGCUACAAUGGCGACUACAGAGCGAUGCGAGACCGUGAGGUGGAGCAAAUCGCAAAAAAAGUCGCCCCAGUUCGGAUUGCAGGCUGACAACUCGCCUGCAUGAAGUUGGAAUCGCUAGUAAUCGCGUAUCAGCUACGACGCGGUGAAUAUGUUCCUGAGCCG
rnacentral:rRNA from 1 species